CAGUAGCCGCGGUAAUACGUAGGUCCCGAGCGUUGUCCGGAUUUAUUGGGCGUAAAGCGAGCGCAGGCGGUCAAUUAAGUCUGACGUGAAAGCCCCCGGCUCAACCGGGGAGGGUCAUUGGAAACUGGUUGACUUGAGUGCAGAAGAGGAGAGUGGGGUUCCAUGUGUAGCGGUGAAAUGCGUAGAUAUAUGGAGGAACACCGGUGGCGAAAGCGGCUCUCUGGUCUGUCACUGACGCUGAGGCUCGAAAGCGUGGGUAGCGAACAGGAUUAGAUACCCCCGUAGUCCCUGUCUCUUAUAC
rnacentral:rRNA from 1 species